GGAAACGAACUCGAGUGUAGAGUAUUUGCCUUUUAAGCUUAUAGUCUUGGUUCAAGUCCAAGUGUUUUCA
rnacentral:tRNA from 1 species